GACGAACGCUGGCGGCGUGCUUAACACAUGCAAGUCGAACGGAAAGGCCCUGCUUUUGUGGGGUGCUCGAGUGGCGAACGGGUGAGUAACACGUGAGUAACCUGCCCUUGACUUUGGGAUAACUUCAGGAAACUGGGGCUAAUACCGGAUAGGAGCUCCUGCUGCAUGGUGGGGGUUGGAAAGUUUCGGCGGUUGGGGAUGGACUCGCGGCUUAUCAGCUUGUUGGUGGGGUAGUGGCUUACCAAGGCUUUGACGGGUAGCCGGCCUGAGAGGGUGACCGGGCACAUUGGGAAUGAGAUACGGACGAGACUGCUACGGGAGGCAGAAGGGGGGAAUAGUGAACAAUGGGCGGAAGCCUGAUGCAGCAACGCCGCGUGCGGGAGGAGGGCCUUCGGGGUGUAAACCGCUUUCGCCUGUGACGAAGAGUGAGGGACGUGAAUGGGUAAAGAAGCACCGGAUAACUACGUG
rnacentral:rRNA from 1 species